GAAGAAAGAGGGAGGCAUGCUUAACACAUGCAAGUCGAACGGAAAGGCCCUGCUUUUGUGGGGUGCUCGAGUGGCGAACGGGUGAGUAACACGUGAGUAACCUGCCCUUGACUUUGGGAUAACUUCAGGAAACUGGGGCUAAUACCGGAUAGGAGCUCCUGCUGCAUGGUGGGGGUUGGAAAGUUUCGGCGGUUGGGGAUGGACUCGCGGCUUAUCAGCUUGUUGGUGGGGUAGUGGCUUACCAAGGCUUUGACGGGUAGCCGGCCUGAGAGGGUGACCGGCCACAUUGGGACUGAGAUACGGCCCAGACUCCUACGGGAGGCAGCAGUGGGGAAUAUUGCACAAUGGGCGGAAGCCUGAUGCAGCAACGCCGCGUGCGGGAUGACGGCCUUCGGGUUGUAAACCGCUUUCGCCUGUGACGAAGCGUGAGUGACGGUAAUGGGUAAAGAAGCACCGGCUAACUACGUG
rnacentral:rRNA from 1 species